AGACCCCGUGAACCUUUACUACAGCUUGGCACUGAACAUUGACCCUACAUGUGUAGGAUAGGUGGGAGGCUUUGAAACCGGUACGCCAGUAUCGGUGGAGCCGUCCUUGAAAUACCACCCUUGUAGUGUUGAUGUUCUAACUUAGACCCAUUAUCUGGGUUGAGGACAGUGCCUGGUGGGUAGUUUGACUGGGGCGGUCUCCUCCCAAAGAGUAACGGAGGAGCACGAAGGUGGGCUAAUCACGGUUGGACAUCGUGAGGUUAGUGCAAUGGCAUAAGCCCGCUUGACUGCGAGAAUGACAAUUCGAGCAGGUGCGAAAGCAGGUCAUAGUGAUCCGGUGGUUCUGAAUGGAAGGGCCAUCGCUCAACGGAUAAAAGGUACUCCGGGGAUAACAGGCUGAUACCGCCCAAGAGUUCAUAUCGACGGCGGUGUUUGGCACCUCGAUGUCGGCUCAUCACAUCCUGGGGCUGAAGUCGGUCCCAAGGGUAUGGCUGUUCGCCAUUUAAAGUGGUACGCGAGCUGGGUUUAGAACGUCGUGAGACAGUUCGGUCCCUAUCUGCCGUGGGCGUUGGAAGAUUGAAGGGGGCUGCUCCUAGUACGAGAGGACCGGAGUGGACGAACCUCUGGUGUUCGGGUUGUCAUGCCAAUGGCAUUGCCCGGUAGCUAAGUUCGGAAUCGAUAACCGCUGAAAGCAUCUAAGCGGGAAGCGAGCCCUGAGAUGAGUCUUCCCUGACCCCUUGAGGGUCCUAAAGGGUUGUUCGAGACUAGAACGUUGAUAGGCAGGGUGUGUAAGCGUUGUGAGGCGUUGAGCUAACCUGUACUAAUUGCCCGUGAGGCUUAACCAU
rnacentral:rRNA from 1 species